rnacentral:tRNA from 1 species
GAGGGAUGGCCGAGUGGUUGAAGGCGGCGGUCUUGAAAACCGUUAGACGUGAAAGCGUCUCCAGGGUUCGAAUCCCUGUCCCUC